UUUUCUGUAGCUUAAGUUGUAAAGCCUCAGCUUGAAGAGCUGGUUAUAUGAAUGUCGGCGGGGU
rnacentral:tRNA from 1 species